rnacentral:rRNA from 1 species
AGCGAACGCUGGCGGCAGGCUUAACACAUGCAAGUCGAGCGGGCAUCUUCGGGUGUCAGCGGCGGACGGGUGAGUAACGCGUGGGAACGUGCCUUCUGGUUCGGAAUAACUCAGGGAAACUUGAGCUAAUACCGGAUACGCCCUUUUGGGGAAAGGUUUACUGCCGGAAGAUCGGCCCGCGUCUGAUUAGCUAGUUGGUGGGGUAACGGCCUACCAAGGCGACGAUCAGUAGCUGGUCUGAGAGGAUGAUCAGCCACACUGGGACUGAGACACGGCCCAGACUCCUACGGGAGGCAGCAGUGGGGAAUAUUGGACAAUGGGCGCAAGCCUGAUCCAGCCAUGCCGCGUGAGUGAUGAAGGCCUUAGGGUUGUAAAGCUCUUUUAUCCGGGACGAUAAUGACGGUACCGGAGGAAUAAGCCCCGGCUAACUUCGUGCCAGCAGCCGCGGUAA